rnacentral:rRNA from 1 species
UACGAAGGGGGCUAGCGUUGUUCGGAUUUACUGGGCGUAAAGCGCACGUAGGCGGACUGUUAAGUCGGAGGUGAAAGCCCAGGGCUCAACCCUGGAAUUGCCUUCGAUACUGGCAGUCUUGAGUGUGAUAGAGGUUAGUGGAAUUCCUAGUGUAGAGGUGAAAUUCGUAGAUAUUAGGAAGAACACCAGUGGCGAAGGCGGCUAACUGGAUCACAACUGACGCUGAGGUGCGAAAGCGUGGGGAUCAAACAGG